rnacentral:rRNA from 1 species
AUGCGGGUCAGCCUUUACGCUGACGACGCGGUAAUAUUCGCAAAUCCAAUAAAGGAGGAGGUGGACUGCCUGCUAGAGCUGCUGCACUCCUUCGGAGAAGCCACCGAUCUCAAACUUAACCAGGCCAAGUCCUCGGUCAUCCCGAUGAGCUGCGACGCCCAGACGCUGGAGGAAGUGCUGCAUGGCUUCGGCGGCGACAUCGCUAGCUUCCCCACAUCCUACCUGGGGCUGCCUAUCUCCCCUAAGCGAUUGCGGAUCGUGCACUUCCAGUUCCUCAUUGAUAGGAUCAAAUCACGCCUCGCGUGAUGGAAGGAAAAGUUGAUGUCAUUGGCCGGCCGGCGCGUCCUGGUGCGCGCGGUGCUCUCCGCCCUGCCCACCUAUGCCCUUUUGUGUGCUAAAGGUACCAAAGAAGGUUUUUAA